rnacentral:rRNA from 1 species
GGUAAGUGGGUGGCGGCUGGCUGGGUGUGUGGUAGGGGGGAGGUGUGGGUCGGAAUGAUGGGGGGGAACGCGGGGGCAGGCGGGCCGUUAAGUCUGAUGGGGAAGCCGACGGCUCAACCGUGGAGGGUCAUUGGGAACUGGGGGACUUGAGUGCAGAAGGGGAGAGCGGAAUUCCAGGUGUAGCGGUGAAAUGCGUAGAGAUGUGGAGGAACACCAGUGGCGAAGGCGGCUUUCUGGUCUGUAACUGACGCUGAGGCGCGAAAGCGUGGGGAGCAAACAGGAUUAGAUACCCGAGUAGUC